GACUUCUGAAAAUGAACUAACUCAUUUUGCCCUCUGAUCUGAUGCGUGGCAGGGUCCAGUUGCACGCCCAGUCCCUAGGAUGGCCGCCUCAUUCAAUCCAGAAGCUCAUGGGAUGCAAGGCACACCACACCUUGAACCUCAUGGACCCAGAUCCGCCAUGGUCGCCCGGGGCUUCUUCAACAUCAGCCGCCAUGGUGGUCCUGCUCCGUGCCGUGCCAACCCAGGGGGCGCGAUGGAGGGAUUCGCGCCGUCGAAGGAGAUGCUCACGCGGCGGCUGCUUCUGCUCGCCCGUUGCCCACGCCAUGGCAGGAAGGAGGAAGAGACGCGGAAGGAAGGAGGAACAGGCCGUUGUUGGACUCCACGGAGACGCUCCUCUUCCACUCCCUCAUCCCCCAAGUGUUUCGGUUGAAGAGAGCAUCCUUGCAUCUCUUGGGUCAUUCCAGCAAAUGUGGUUCUUCAAAGCCAAGCAAGUAUUAAGAGCAUGGGGUUCGAUUGGCCAGGAACACCAUCCUCGACGAGUCCCAUGAGAGGGUCUACUCCACAAUGUGUGAAGCGGCUCCUCCCACGUCCAUCUUCUACCGUCCACGCUGCCGCUGAUUCCUCCUCCACGGAGGAACAUCAGAGGAGGCGCAGAGGAGUGGUCAAUGCCGACCGACGAAGCUUGUAAGUGGCGUGUCGUGUGGAUGGAUCCAGAAUCGAUCAAUGCGGAUUCGCCGCCUCAGCAAGGCCUCAUUCUUGCCUUGGGGUGCACAAGCUCUGUCAGGUAGCUGCACAUCCCGUACAACCACAAACCACACCACUGGAGCUUCCCACAUUUGUAGCAGCUUCUAGAUCCAAGGUAUUUACCGUAACUGCUAGACGAUUGUCGAGUCAUAUACUCCAGAGGCUGUCGUGUGGUGUGUGCGGGGGAGAACUUCACCAGCGAGUCCGUUGAUGUGAGGCCUACUUCAACUGUAAAAGGCUCCCAACGCAAGAGGCGCCCUCCAUGGACGACAUUGACGAGGAACAUGCGGGACCACAUGCCCAGGUUGUCGAGCUCGCCUGCUAUAAGUACAGAUUUGCUAUGAUUUCUUGAUUAUAUGGGAUUAGAAAGGAGAUGAUGCCCAGUUGGUGUCGCAUCUUCUGUGCACCGUGGAGGUGGUGGCCGCAGCUUCCUCGGUUCUAGAUCACACAUGUUGACUCGUCUUUGAAGCACGGAGAAGUCGAUGCCUCAAAGGCGCUUGCAUUGAUACCGUUGACAGCUAAUUACCGAGGGAAUGAUCAUGAUUUCGUGCACUCUCCUGGGGUCAUAUCCUCAGCUAAGAAAGCUGUAGCGAACUCGCGAGCUAUUGUUCCAGUUACACCUGUAGAUUCGAGCAGAGGCGAUAGUUCCAACAAAUAAGGUGAAGAGAUCAUUAGAAAAAGAGGCAGCUCAAAUUAGACGUCCGUUCUCUGUUGCUGAAGUGGAAACACUUGUGCUUGCAGUCGAAAAGAUUGGAACUGGAAGACGGCGAGAUGUUAAACUUCAUGCUUUUGAUAACGCCAAGCAUCGGACCUGUGUUGAUCUUAUGAUUCUAAGGCCGAGAACCUUGUCGUACAGGCAAUACAGAACCACCAGGGCAGGGUGGCCGAGCAGAGUUGUUUCCGUUUAUGGCUACAUGGACCACGGUGCAGAGACGAUGUUGUCUAGCAUGAGUUUGGUCAGCAAAGCAGCCCUGCUUGUUUCGGUGCUCAUUCCUGUGCGGUGCCUUUGGUUGCUGCUUCCUCUUCGACUCCGGCAUAGGGAUAAAUAAAGAUGUUGGCCCUUACAAAUCCUGGAAACUCACACAGGUUGAUUAGAAAGGGUUGAAAUACAAGGAAAACUAGGCUCCGAGAGUACUCCCUCUCCCUCGUUAAAUUUUGUUCCAAUCAUCACAUUAUGAUCACCUGCCGGUUUAGCAACAUACUUUUGGUAGCAUUAAGAUAUUUUUUCAUAGAAUGGUGAAACCUUUUAAUGUUUGUCCGAAUCCCCGGAAAUGAUACUUUUAUAACCAGAGUAUGAAAUUCAUAGUUAGCGAUCGGGUCA